rnacentral:rRNA from 1 species
AUUGAACGCUGGCGGAAUGCUUUACACAUGCAAGUCGAACGGCAGCACGGACUUCGAUCUGGUGGCGAGUGGCGAACGGGUGAGUAAUGUAUCGGAACGUGCCCAGUCGUGGGGGAUAACGUAAUGAAAAUUACGCUAAUACCGCAUACGAUCUAUGGAUGAAAGCGGGGGAUCGCAAGACCUCGCGCGAUUGGAGCGGCCGAUAUCAGAUUAGGUAGUUGGUGGGGUAAAGGCCCACCAAGCCAACGAUCUGUAGCUGGUCUGAGAGGACGACCAGCCACACUGGAACUGAGACACGGUCCAGACUCCUACGGGAGGCAGCAGUGGGGAAUUUUGGACAAUGGGCGAAAGCCUGAUCCAGCCAUUCCGCGUGCAGGAUGAAGGCCCUCGGGUUGUAAACUGCUUUUGUACAGAACGAAAAGGUUUCUACUAAUACUAGGAGCUCAUGACGGUACUGUAAGAAUAAGCACCGGCUAACUACGUGCCAGCAGCCGCCGUAA